GAUGAACGCUGGCGGCGUGCCUAAUACAUGCAAGUCGAGCGAACGGACGAGAAGCUUGCUUCUCUGAUGUUAGCGGCGGACGGGUGAGUAACACGUGGAUAACCUACCUAUAAGACUGGGAUAACUUCGGGAAACCGGAGCUAAUACCGGAUAAUAUUUUGAACCGCAUGGUUCAAAAGUGAAAGACGGUCUUGCUGUCACUUAUAGAUGGAACCGCGCUGCAUUAGCUAGUUGGUAAGGUAACGGCUUACCAAGGCAACGAUGCAUAGCCGACCUGAGAGGGUGAUCGGCCACACUGGAACUGAGACACGGUCCAGACUCCUACGGGAGGCAGCAGUAGGGAAUCUUCCACAAUGGGCGAAAGCCUGACGGAGCAACGCCGCGUGAGUGAUGAAGGUCUUCGGAUCGUAAAACUCUGUUAUUAGGGAAGAACAUAUGUGUAAGUAACUGUGCACAUCUUGACGGUACCUAAUCAGAAAGCCACGGCUAACUACGUG
rnacentral:rRNA from 1 species